GUCAGUCGCAAGGGUGGAGAGGGCCACCCUGUAAACAUGUCUUCUCUCCUCUGAGGUCGGUUAUGGGAAGAAUAGAAAUAUCUCUUUUAGGGGGGCUUCCCCCUUGUCAUUUCCAUUUUUCAAUGUCAGAAAGGGAAGACUGGAAGAAAAUCAGGCAAAUUAAGCCCCCAAAGCGCACUGUAAUUUUCUAUUUCUGAACGGAUUUGUAAGAGAAUGGCUGAGUGAAGUUAGCAGAGCAUCACCCCCCACACAAAGAUGGCGCGUGCAGAAUUUGUGAAAGCGAAAGAGGAAGAGGAAGGACAAGCAAGAGAGGACGGAGCACUGCAGAGCUGGGUGCAGCUGGAGUCCAGAAAUGAUUUUUUUUUCGACAAAUUUAGGAUUUUGCCGCAGCGUACAUCUGCAUUCCCAGAAUCCUCCGGACGGUAAACCCAAGAAGGCCCAGAGAACACACACCUUCAAGCAUGAAGGAUGGUGGCAGUGUAACUAAAGGACCAGGCCACGGCCAUGGAGGUGGCCGUCACCUCCUGCCACCUUCACGAUCCCGCCUUUGCUCUGUAGUUGUACAUGCGCUGAGAGCUUUGCCCGGUGGCUCUGCGGAAUCCGCCCAGUGGGUUACUAGACGGCUUCUGUGUGGGAGAAAAAGCAACACACAGUCUGACAAGAGGUAUUUACAACUGCUUAGCCUGUUCAGCUGGAAAUUAACAAAAAAGAUGACAUAACCCUGACUCGAUGUUUUACAAAUCAAAAGUCUGGAUCCAUAAAUAGCCCACUUGACAAACGAAG
rnacentral:lncRNA from 1 species